UUCUCUACCCGCUUCUCCAUGAGCUCUCUGAGCCGGGGUGGGGUGGGGGAUCAACUCUGUGGUAAAGUCAAGAGGCACGUGUUUGUUUUUGAAGUGGAAAAAGCGGUUCAAAGCAUUAGAUUUUAUCUUUGCACAGGCAACUGUUUGCGUGGGCCAGUGUAUGCAUAUUUAAUCGAGGAGUGGGCAGCAGUAAUUCUGGCUCACCAAGUGGGCAAGUACAGCAGGAUGAGAGAGAGAAAGCAGCCAUGCUCGAUCAAAGGAGAGGGCUUUUGGUGACAAGUUUGCAUCUGAUCAGCUGGGCUCGACCCUCGCUGCUGUGCUUCUGGAGGCCUGGAAGAAGUUUGCAUACUGAAUUAUUUCAGCUGUUAUUGUUCGAUGGGUUGCGUUUGUAGUGUAAAAUAUGGAGAGGGUGGAAGAUAGAAUAAAUGCUGGGCAAACUAAAAGUAGGCCUUAACUCCUGAACAAUGGAGAACGGUGGGGAUCGAGCCUAGAAAAUCCAUUUUUUUCCGACUUUGCAUUUCAUAGGUUAUUGAGCCAGGUUCUACUGACUGUCUCGCAGCCUCCCUUUCUUACUGUAAAGCCUCCAGGAGUCAGUGUGGAAGGCAGACAGGGGCAGACCAGGCGCCUUAUAUACAAAGCCAACACGUUUCACUCUGCAGCUGCAGCAGCUGAGCGGCGGUGAGCACCACCUCCAGCAUCACCAGUAGCAGCAGCAGCAGCAGGUCGGGGAGGGUUUUUGGAGCACAGUUGGACCGACGAAGCAAAUUGCAACCAGGCUCCAGGCUCGAGGACCUGUCAGAGAAUAAUGCUCACCGGUUGGUCGCCGGUCGCUGCCCGCCAGCGGCCCGGGGCUGUUGAAUGAGCGGAGCUGUCCGUGGUGCUGAAAAAAAAAAAACCAGCCGCCGACAGACCGUCGUUGCUGCUGUUUCCAGUCGAGACGAUACGCAUGAACUGACGUGAAUGCCGAGCAGCACCACCACAUCAGCAGCAGCAGCACGCCAGUCCGCCGGUUAACACAGCAGCACCCCCGGCCAGAGUAAAUGGGACCGCACGUCGUCCGAGCGUUAGAAAGAUGGAGAGAUUUUUCCUGCUCGUCCUCAGCUGUCUCUGCGUCUCCCGAGUCACAGCGGAUAGCUUGUCGCCUCCUGUCAAUGUGACCAUCAAAGCGGUGAAAGCAAACUCUGCUGUGGUGACAUGGGACAUCCCAGAGGGAGACCCCGUCAUUGGCUUUGCCAUCACACAGCAGAAGAAAGACGUGCGCAUGCUGCGAUUCAUCCAGGAAGUCAACACCACCACACGUUCCUGUGCAUUAUGGGACUUGGAGGAAGAGACAGACUACAUUGUGCAUGUCCAGUCCAUCAGCAUGUCUGGCACAAGCCCGCUGAGCGAACCCCUACGCUUCCGAACGCCGAAGGAGGCCGAGACUCAGGCCUCUAAGAGUAAAGACGAAGUGACGAUGGAGGAAGUGGGCCAGACCACCCAGCUGAGGGCAGGAGAGCUCAUCAUCAUCGUGGUGGUACUUAUCAUGUGGGCAGGUGUGAUUGCUCUCUUCUGUCGCCAGUAUGACAUAAUCAAAGACAACGAGCCCAACAACAACAAGGACAAAGCCAAAAACUCCUCUGAGUGCAGCACUCCUGAACAUCCGACGGGUGGGCUGUUGCGCAGUAAGGUAUAACCCACCCCUCUCCUCCCCCCCAGGGUGCCCCCACCCCUCAGCGGCUCCGGGCAGUACCCCAAGAACAACAACAACAACAACAAUAGGAUGCCAUCUGUCAACAUCAUUGAGGUGUGACUGCCAGGACGUCUUCUCUUUAUCCAAAAGACUUUGUGUUCUCACAAACAAGCGGGCCCUUUUUUUAAGCCCAUCUGCUUGUCAGGAUGAGGCUGGGACUCUGGGACUCUGGGCCCCUCGGCGGCACUUACUCUCCUUUGGCAAGGGGCCCGGCACUGAAGCAAAGCUGCAGGACUACGGGGGUCAGGCAAGGCCUGGUCGAUUCCGGUCUGAGAGCAGAGUCGGCGGCGGAGCAGCUGCAGAGAGUUCAGUGGCUGCAUCGUGCUCAAUAACUACUGUACCAUGGGGCCGCAGAGAUUAGGGCCAAACUGCUCCGGUGGCGAGUCUGCAGAUAAACCAACUCCAGGGACCAAAGCUGAUGAGCAGAGCCAGAGACCUUUUCAUUCUUUCUCCCGCCCUCUGUCACCUUUUGCUUCUCACAGUCUCUCCUCACGUUACCACAAACCUGGACAUCUGUCCUUCCUGGGUGGCACAGAGAUGCAUCCACUUUGUUGAAAUGGUCCCCUGUACUUUAAUCGCAUCCUCAACACCUUAUUUUCUUCACAUCCUGUAUUCUACGUUAACACUGUAUAUCACUCAAGUGUAUUACUGUAGUUCGACUUUUAACAAACUACCACCAGAACAGUCCUGUUGUUCUGGUAUCCCUAAGUUUUUGGUUUUUUUUAGAACCCCCCUCAGGCAGAAACUCUUUGCCGUCCUGUGGGAAAUGUUUUCAUGUUGGCGAUGUUGUUUUCCCCCCUCAGGGAGUCCAGACUCCACCUGGCUAAUUAAGAGCCAUUUCUUAGAUGUGCUGCAAUGACGCCAGAGCAGCUUUAGAGGGAUCACUCGGCUCACCACCAAGUUAAAUCACCCAGUCUUGUUGGAAAACUCAUCACUCGCACUGAAAGGCGUCUCUGAUGUGAACACAUACGUACAGUGAAGUCCAUCUACAGACCGGGUUCGGUAUCAUCUUGCUCACACUUGCUUUUGUUAUUAUAGGUUCCUGAAAUGUUACAUUCCACAUCCAGGAUGAGCCCUUUAGUAUUUCCUUGUGUCUUUCUCUUUGAGGGUGAUGAAUUUCAAAGCAUUCUGGGGAGGAAAAAGAACUGCCAUAAUGGAGUUCAUUCAUCUAAUUAAUGAACUUUAAAAGGGGGCUGGACUCUAUGGAGAGACGCCGAAGAGAUCCCUUAUAUCAGCAAUAACAGCCUUCGGAGAAGCAUGCAAGCAAGGACUCAAACUCUGUAGCCUCUUCAUCCAGAACACCACCUCCCAGCAUGCAAUGUUCAGAUAACAGAUGAACAAAUUGCACAUCUAAUAUGAGGGAAUUAAUCCUGAGCCUCAUUAACAGGUGAUCCCUCUCCUGAACUCUCAGAGAAAAGUCUUUCAGCGCUGUUGUAAAAACUCAGUUUCUGAUGGAGAGCAUGGAGAGAAAAAAAAUACUUUUUAUGAGCCCAGCCUUCAACCCUGAGACAUCCUUGUGACAUCCUGAACAGAAGGGCUUCUAUCAAGACUUUUUCCAAUGUGUUGAAACUCCAUGUAUAAGAGGCUAAAAACAAUGAUGAGGGAUCAUCUGUCGCCAUAUGGUAAUGUGCGCUGUAUACUGUGAGGGAACUUGUUUUUUCGAACGGUGUAUUUGAGGGCUGAUUCAAACUCAGUAGUGCUGCCUUAAAAAUAAUUAUAUCUUAUGAUUUGUCUAAUGAGACGGAAGGCCCCGUAUCUCACAUUUGUGUCAAAUUCAUUAGCUUUCACAUGAUAUUUAAAUGUGUGUGCAAAGUAAAAGGAAACAUGACAGAUGAGGUUUAAAUUGAAUAUGUAAAUACAUUUUAUAUUUAAUUCUUGUUCGGUGGUGUCAGUUUAGAGAGCCUUUAGUGAAAUAUGACUAAUGUGGCAAAUGUAUAGACUCCUAAUGUAAAAGGGAACUGCUACUGGUGAAAAUGUGGGUGUUUUUUUUUUUGUUAAUACACUGCUUUCAUUAA